UACGUAGGAGACGAGCGUUGUCCGGAAUUACUGGGCGUAAAGCGCGUGUAGGCGGAUGGGCAAGUCUGCUGUGAAAGCUCCUGGCUUAACCGGGAGUAGUCGGUGGAAACUGCCAAUCUGGAGGACGGUAGAGGUAGGUAGAAUUCCCGGUGUAGUGGUGAAAUGCGUAGAGAAUCGGGAGGAAUACCUGUGGCGAAGGCGGCCUACUGGGCCGGACCUGACGCUGAGACGCGAAGGCGUGGGGAGCGAACGGG
rnacentral:rRNA from 1 species